GACGAACGCUGGCGGCGUGCUUAACACAUGCAAGUCGAACGGAAAGGCCCUGCUUUUGUGGGGUGCUCGAGUGGCGAACGGGUGAGUAACACGUGAGUAACCUGCCCUUGACUUUGGGAUAACUUCAGGAAACUGGGGCUAAUACCGGAUAGGAGCUCCUGCUGCAUGGUGGGGGUUGGAAAGUUUCGGCGGUUGGGGAUGGACUCGCGGCUUAUCAGCUUGUUGGUGGGGUAGUGGCUUACCAAGGCUUUGACGGGUAGCCGGCCUGAGAGGGUGACCGGCCACAUUGGGACUGAGAUACGGCACAGACGCCUACGGGAGGCAGCAGUGGGGAAUAUUGCACAAUGGGCGGAAGCCUGAUGCAGCAACGCCGCGUGCGGGAUGACGGCCUUCGGGUUGUAAACCGAUUUCGCCUGUGACGAAGCGUGAGUGACGGUAAUGGGUAAAGAAGCACCGGCUAACUACGUG
rnacentral:rRNA from 1 species